CAUUCGAGACCUUCUGGGUGGGAAGGAGGCAGCCAUGUGGUGAUCUGGGGAAGAGUGCUGCAAGCAGAAAGGCAAGUAAAAACAAAAGCCCUGAGGCAGAAAUGUGCUCCUUAUGCUUAAGAAACACCGUGAAGGCCAACGUGGUUGGAGCAAUGUGAGCAAGAAGAAUAGAGGGGCCUUGGGAACAUAGGUAGCUGAGUCCUCAUGGAUCAAGGCACCUUGACUUUAAGUGUCUGUUACACCAAAGGUUAUGGCAAACUGUGUCUGCAGCCCACAGUAAAAUCCAGUUUAAGGCUCUCCACACUGGAGUGCAGCUAUCCAGUUUUUCAGCCAUUUCCAAAAGGAAUUAUAUUGAUGUGUUAGUUGACAAGCCUACAAUGAAAAGAUAGAUGGGAAAAGAAGACCAUCAGACAGGUGGCUGGAUAUGUGGAGACAAGCACGAAGAAGUCCAGGCUCUGUCACGACGUUGCUGACUGGCUUCUGUCACAUUUUCAGGCAUCUUUUAGCUAGAGGUGCGCGUGUGACACCACAUGGACUGUGAGAAAUAGUCAAGUUCAGCCUAGUGACGCUUCUGGCAAAGCUUGUUUUCCUGAUUUUUAAAAAAGGAGUUGGGGGAGUGCCAUGCCUUUUGUCCUUCCUCCCUCCUCCUGCCUGGAACAUGGAUGUGAGACCAGGAAGUACAGCAGCCAUCUUGUGACCAUGAGGACUAAAGGCCUGCGCUGAGGAUGGUACAGUAAAAUGAAAGAAGCAGCCUGGAUGCCUGAUGAGCAGCUGUGCCAGCCCCAGGGUCAUGCAAAUCAGUGUCAAUCAUUGUGGUUCUGGUUUUCUCCUAUUUGUAGCCAAAUAAAUUCCUUACUGAUAUAGGCAGGGUCCUUGUUGGUUCCAAAAAAAAGUGGAUUCACAGAAAUAUAACUGAGAGAACCAUGAAUUUCUAAAGAAGUCCUAGAAAUAGAUCAGUCAGAGAAGUUGUCCAUUUCAGGCAGGGGUUUCUACUGUAAGUUGCUUGGAUGGAAAAUAAAUCAGUGUUAAGGAGGUGAGAAUGCCAUCACUUGAAUUGUAUGACUAUAUCUUAUUAAAUCUCAGAUGCCAUCAGUUGUAAGGUAUAGCAUUAUUUUACAUAUCACUAUGAGAGAAGAAAAUGCUCUCAAGACAUAUCACUGAUUGUAAGAUGCAUCCACCUUGAUUUCAGAGAUUUUAAAAUGUGAAAAAAGGGAGGGACAUCUUAGGAUCAGUGAAAUAUGGCACAUAUUUAUUUGCUUCCUUGAUUCCUGCCUGCUGUGCUCAUUAGACCAGAGACACUGUCUGCCAUGCUCUCUGCCAAGUCCUCCAUACCUAGAAUUGGGCCUGGCAUAGAGUGGGGUCUAUAAAUAUUGGUUAAUUAAUAAGUUAACUAAUAAGUUCUAGUCCUUGCUUUUCCAAUAACUUCCCAUGCUACCCUGGCUGGAGAAAGCAUUUCCCUUUCUCUGUACCUCAUUUCUCCAUAAUCUAGUUCAACUGACCCUCACCAGAACUGAAGAAACAAAAAGCCCCAAAUACAUGCAAAGCGGACCUACACUCUGCAUCACCAUGGUGACGCCUCCCAGGGUCCCAGAGGGCAGGGAGGCCUCAUCUUCCACCAUCCCUAGAAAUCUCUCUUUCCCCAGAGCCCAACUCCUUCUAAAGCUCUGUGGUUAACCCUUUCCAGGCAAGCCUUUUCCAACACUCUGUUAGGGUUACUAAAUGUGCUCCCUACAAAUGGACUAGGGCCAAGGAAUUAUGCAAGAUCCUUCAAGCAAAGAGAUGGUAUUUUGUAACUUCCCUGAGUUUCUCCAGGAAGAUGAAAUGCACAACAUAUUUUAGAAUAAUAUCAACCUACAUAUGUCAGAGAGGUAGUCUUGUCUGACCAAAGCCCUUGAGCUGGUGAGGGGCGGGGUUCCAGGUGCCCCUUCUGCUGCACUAGCAUUGUAUUCAGAAGUAAUAAAGAUGAUGGCUUUCAUG
rnacentral:lncRNA from 10 species